rnacentral:rRNA from 1 species
CCUACGGGAGGCUGCAGUGAGGAAUAUUGCGCAAUGGGGGCAACCCUGACGCAGCGACGCCGCGUGAGUGAAGAAGGCCUUCGGGUUGUAAAGCUCUGUCGGAAGGGAAGAACGGUUCAGGUGUUAAUACCAUCUGGAUUUGACGGUACCUUCAAAGGAAGCACCGGCUAACUCCGUGCCAGCAGCCGCGGUAAUACGUAGGUGGCAAGCGUUGUCCGGAAUUAUUGGGCGUAAAGCGCGCGCAGGCGGUCCUUUAAGUCUGAUGUGAAAUCUUGCGGCUCAACCGCAAGCGGUCAUUGGAAACUGGGGGACUUGAGUGCAGAAGAGGAAAGCGGAAUUCCACGUGUAGCGGUGAAAUGCGUAGAGAUGUGGAGGAACACCAGUGGCGAAGGCGGCUUUCUGGUCUGUAACUGACGCUGAGGCGCGAAAGCGUGGGGAGCAAACAGGAUUAGAUACCCCAGUAGUC